UACGUAGGGGGCAAGCGUUGUCCGGAUUUAUUGGGCGUAAAGAGCUCGUAGGUGGCCAACUAAGUCAGACGUGAAAUCCCUCGGCUUAACCGGGGAACUGCGUCUGAUACUGGAUGGCUGGAGUUUGGGAGAGGGAUGCGGAAUUCCAGGUGUAGCGGUGAAAUGCGUAGAUAUCUGGAGGAACACCGGUGGCGAAGGCGGCAUCCUGGACCAACACGUGACGCUGAGGAGCGAAAGCCAGGGGAGCAAACGGG
rnacentral:rRNA from 1 species